GAACGCUGAGGGCGGAACAGGCAGCCGCCAUCCAGAGCAAUCCGCAGGAGAUGUGGGAGCGUCACCCCACCUCGUUC
rnacentral:ncRNA from 1 species